rnacentral:rRNA from 1 species
UACGGAGGGGGCUAGCGUUGCUCGGAAUCACUGGGCGUAAAGGGUGCGUAGGCGGGUCUUUAAGUCAGGGGUGAAAUCCUGGAGCUCAACUCCAGAACUGCCUUUGAUACUGAGGAUCUUGAGUUCGGGAGAGGUGAGUGGAACUGCGAGUGUAGAGGUGAAAUUCGUAGAUAUUCGCAAGAACACCAGUGGCGAAGGCGGCUCACUGGCCCGAUACUGACGCUGAGGCACGAAAGCGUGGGGGAGCAAACAGGG